GCACCUUAGACAAUUGAUUGGUC
rnacentral:siRNA from 1 species